rnacentral:rRNA from 1 species
CCUACGGGAGGCAGCAGUGGGGAAUAUUGCACAAUGGGGGAAACCCUGAUGCAGCGACGCCGCGUGAGUGAAGAAGUAUUUCGGUAUGUAAAGCUCUAUCAGCAGGGAAGAAAAUGACGGUACCUGACUCAGAAGCCCCGGCUAACUACGUGCAAGCAGCCGCGGUAAUACGUAGGGGGCAAGCGUUAUCCGGAUUUACUGGGUGUAAAGGGAGCUUAGACGGCCAGACAAGUCAGAAGUGAAAGCCCAGGGCUCAACCCUGGGACUGCUUUUGAAACUGCCGGGCUUGAGUGCAGGAGAGGUAAGCGGAAUUCCUAGUGUAGCGGUGAAAUGCGUAGAUAUUAGGAGGAACACCAGGGGCGAAGGCGGCUUACUGGACUGUAACUGACGUUGAGGCUCGAAAGCGUGGGGAGCAAACAGGAUUAGAUACCCGGGUAGUC